GACGAACGCUGGCGGCGUGCCUAAUACAUGCAAGUCGAACGAUAGCGACCGGAGCUUGCACUUGUCAGAUUAGUGGCGAACGGGUGAGUAACACGUAGGUAACCUGCCCUGUAGAGGGGGAUAACAUCCGGAAACGGAUGCUAAUACCGCAUAACUAUGCGAACCGCAUGGCUUUUAGUGGAAAAGAGCCGUAAGCUCAUUAUGAUGUAGGCAUCCGCUGUGCAUUAGCUAGUUGGUGAGGUAACGGCUCACCAAGGCCGUGAUGCAUAGCCGACCUGAGGGGGUGAUCGGCCACAUGGGACCGGAGAAACGGCCCAACCUCCUACGGGAGGCAGAAGUAGGGAAUCUUCGGCAAUGGGCGCAAGUCUGACGGAGCAACGCCGCGUGAGUGAAGAAGGUUUUCGGAUCGUAAACCUCUGUUGUUAGAGAAGAACAAGUGCUAGAUUAAAUGUUCGCGCCUUGACGGUAUCUAACCAGAAAGCCACGGCUAACUACGUG
rnacentral:rRNA from 1 species